GGAUGAACGCUGGCGGCGUGCCUAAUACAUGCAAGUCGAGCGAACAGAUAAGGAGCUUGCUCCUUUGACGUUAGCGGCGGACGGGUGAGUAACACGUGGGUAACCUACCUAUAAGACUGGAAUAACUCCGGGAAACCGGGGCUAAUGCCGGAUAACAUUUAGAACCGCAUGGUUCUAAAGUGAAAGAUGGUUUUGCUAUCACUUAUAGAUGGACCCGCGCCGUAUUAGCUAGUUGGUAAGGUAACGGCUUACCAAGGCAACGAUACGUAGCCGACCUGAGAGGGUGAUCGGCCACACUGGAACUGAGACACGGUCCAGACUCCUACGGGAGGCAGCAGUAGGGAAUCUUCCGCAAUGGGCGAAAGCCUGACGGAGCAACGCCGCGUGAGUGAUGAAGGUCUUCGGAUCGUAAAACUCUGUUAUUAGGGAAGAACAAAUGUGUAAGUAACUAUGCACGUCUUGACGGUACCUAAUCAGAAAGCCACGGCUAACUAC
rnacentral:rRNA from 1 species